GAAAUGCGGUAAGUAGUGUGAAUUGCAGAAUUCAGUGAAUCAUCGAAUCUUUGAACGCACAUUGCGCCCCUUGGUAUUCCAUGGGGCAUGCCUGUUCGAGCGUCAUUUGUACCCUCAAGCUCUGCUUGGUGUUGGGUGUUUGUCCCGUCUCCGCGCGUGGACUCGCCCCAAAGUGAUUGGCAGCCGGCGUACUGGUCCCGGAGCGCAGCACAUGUCGCGCAAACGAGUGCCUUGGUACGGCGGCGUCCAUAAGCCCCUCUCUCACGCUCUUGACCUCGGAUCAGGUAGGGAUACCCGCUGAACUUAAGC
rnacentral:misc_RNA from 1 species